AGCCCAUGAUACGGGCAAAUCCUUAGCAUGUCCUUAUAUCUCUCCCAUGCUUCAAAAAGUGACUCGUUGUCUUUUUGCCUAAAUCUGUUAAUUUGGCUUCUUAGCAU